CCAACCCGGGGCGGCUCCUUCCGAAGGCUCCACUCCAGCGGCUCGCUGCGGGAGACCAAGGCCAGCCGCCGUCCCAGGGGACGGCCCUCGGGGAACCUGAAUGACGUGCGAGGCCGUACCUCGGGGCGCUGGACUCCGCUCGGGCGCUCCCGCUCUCCGCUCCCGCUCUCGGGUCCCAAUCCCGACGCUCCGCGCGCUCCCGGACUAAGUGCGGACGCGCCCCACGCCCCCCGGCGCCAGCCCGGGACAGCGCUGCACCUGUUGCCACGUGCGACGCGGCGCUCAGCGGCUGCCACUGCCGCCGGCGCACCUGGCUGCACCGCGCGUCCCGGGACCACGCUCGUCCCCGCAGGAGCCCGGGGCUCCGCCGCACCCAGCGCUAGGGCCCAGGCCGGGCCGCGAGUUAGUUCUUUAGAUCAGAGGUCCCCAACCCCAGGACUGCGGACUGCCACUGGUCUUUGGCCUGUCAGGCACCCGGCCACACAGCUGGAGUGUGAAAAAAAAGGAAAAAACUGAAAAUCUCAAGAGGAUUCCAGGAAAUCAAAACAAUGAAUUAUUGAAUCAAGAAUUUGAAAGAGAAAAUAGAUGCAUACUGAAAAAAGAAUUUUGUUUAGUGAGAUAGAUGUAAUAAUGAAGGCAUGUUGAUAACGGGGGAGCUAUGUAUAUAUGAGGGGAGGGAUAUAUUGGAAAUCUCUGUAUCUUCCUCUCAAUCUUGCUGUGAUCCUAAAACUGCUCUAAAAAAUAUUUUGAGAAGGAAUAAUGAUGUGGUAAACAUGUUCUGUUAUUUAAAAAGAGAGACUUUUCAUAGCCGCCUCCCUCCCCCUCUACACACACACAGAGUCCUGUCCGUCUUCAUUCCCUUACUCAAUAAUUUGUACAGACACAGCCACUGGGCUCCAGUAAUCCUAAAGUUUCUAGAAAAUCAAGCACAGAAAAAGGUUAAAACCCUGAGGGAAUAAAAGAAUUCCUUUGCAUCCAUUGCAUUUCUCAGGAAGUGAACUAACAAAUUCACUGCUUUUAAAUGAGGAAAUUUUCUCAGUGAAAUUGAUUCCAAACCUUCGUUAGGUCAACUGUUCCCAGAUUUCUUAGCUGAUGCCUGAUCUGACUAUUCCUUAUCUUUAGUACAGAAACCAAGGUGAAUGACCUUUAAAAAACAUAUUAGACUGUUGACGUGUCUUCUAUGUUGUACUCUAGGUAAAAACGAUAAACCAGGAAAAAGAAAGUAAAAUUCAACCUUAGGCUCAUGGAUCCAGAGUGGAUAAUUAUGAGUCUGUAGUAUCUACAUGCAUGUGAUGAGGUUCAAGGACAAUAACCAUAAAGCAAAGACUUAAAAGGUUUUAUCAUUAGAAUAAUUGUAAUUCACUUGAUCUCUCAAUGUAACAAUACUUCGGUCUACUGUCUCAAGCCAUUAUUAUGUCUUACACUCAGCAUAUUGGUUUGUCUACCAUUAAAUAUUUAUUUUCUACAGUGCUUUCUGGAAGGCAAACAAAGCAGCCACUCUGCUACUUUAUAUUGAUUCCUGAGUUGUCCUUCGGAAACGCUUUCAGGAAGUUUAAUAGGUUUGAAAGAUAUUUAGACCUGUGACUGGCAAAUAUACUUCCUUCUUUUUAUUUCAAUAAGAGAGUACUAGAACUUAGAUCUUUAUUGUUUAAUCUAGUCAGUGCUGUCAUUGUCAAUCAAGUUCUCAAAUGACACUUGUCCUGAGCUGUAACUGAUCUAUUCAGAAGAAUAUGAAAAUAGUAAAGACGGCAACUAUGCAUGUUUUUACCGGACACGAUUUUAAUUGCUUUAAAAUGAAGUUAUGCAACCAAUGAGGAAUGGAGCUUUUGGAGUGGCCUGAAGCUAAAGGUUUCAGGUGUAUUUUUGCUUUCUUUGAAGAAAGAACCAAAUCAUUUUAUUUAAUAAAAAGGCCAUUUAUCAAGAAUUUCUUAAAGCUGUUUUAAACCUGAGUUUGCAAUUUAUAGAAUAUGUUCAAGCAGCCUCAGUGCCCUUUUAAUUGGAUGGUUUUCACAGAUUUAUCCAAUUUGAGAUUUAUCCAGUGAGAAUUCCCUUUGUUCAAGUAUAUAUGUCUUCUCUUCCAUAAAGCAGAUUCAAAUGAAAGAGUGCAAUCUGAUAUAUCAGACAUGUCAGUUAUACAUUUGAUGUGGUAAAUUUAUAAGAGAGGCCAAUUAUUGUUAUGAAAAAAUACAAUGAAAUACAUGAUAGUCAUUUACUGUUUUUAUAACUAAUCUAAAAGUAUUUACUAAAAAGAAACUAUUUCUUUUCAUAUGUACUUUACUUUUUACUUUAACCCUUCAUAUGUCCUUUAAAUAAAGAGAAGAAAAAAAGUCA
rnacentral:lncRNA from 1 species